AGCACGGCCAACCAUACGAACGUUUACGUGCUGAGUGAGCCGCUCAACGGCCGCUCGCCGGUGGAGCUGCGCCGCCGGGAGCAGCAGAGCGGCCGCCACCGCUUCCGCCUCGGCUUCAACAUCUCCACCGAACAGGACUUUGUCAACUACAAGGCGCUCUGUCGCGGCGAGCAGCUGCUGCACCCGAGGGAAGUGGACCAAGUUAAAGUGCUGGAACGCUGACCGAGGAUCUGCCUACUUCAAACUGAGGACCGAUCAAGGUGGAGCAAAAGCAUAUGGACCCACCUCUGCUUGUUUUCCAUGACGUCAUUCUUGACGAAGAGAUCGAGAUAAUAAAGAGUCUUUGCACGGAAGAGCUCUCCCGCUCCAUGGUGGUCGGCGGCAGGCUGGGCGACGCGGUCAGCGAGUCGCGCAUCUCGCAGACGGCGUGGCUGG